ensembl:lncRNA
CUCUGUCAUGCUUUCUUCUGCCAGUAGCUUGUUUGUUCUGAUGUGUGUUUUGACACAACACUUAUUAGAGGGUUAUUACGGUAUCAAUAUUUGUAUUGGCAAGUACCAAAAUCAUGUACUUGUACUUGUUCUCAGUAUGGAACAAUGUUCCCUAGAUAUUAGUGAGUACACCAGCAGCCUGCUGGAGUUGCAGUGACAGUUUCCUCGGAUUGCACCGUAACAAGUAACUAUUGUAAGGUUGACAUGGUAACCUGUGUGACUUGUGCUAUCAGCAUUAUCUUCAUGCUCCAGACGGAGAUGACGGCCCUCCAGGUGAAGGCAGGUUAAAAUGGCUUCCAGUGCCAGAUCUCAGCAUUAAAUUAGCUCCAUGCAGAGCUUCACUUUUUGUUCUGUGGAGCUUUAGGAAACCUGCAGGGCUCCGGAUUGAUUAACAUGUGAAAGGAACAACAACUCUACUCAUCUACAAAGAUUUCUGACCCCAAGGGCACUGAGAUAAUUAAGCAUCAGGCCUGUCAUGAUGAUUACACAGUCGCCUGAGCGCAGUUAUUUGUGCUGAUCAGGUUUAUUUGAGGUGAUUGUGGUUAAUCGUAAUUCCACAGUUAUGCAUUUCUUUAUAUACGGUACUGUGCAAAAUUACUUUGCAUACAGUUAUUUUACUAUUAAAACAUAGCCACUAUCAUUAAAACCUCUUGAAGAUAAAAAGAUAUGUUUUGUUACUGCAAUUAUGUACAUUAGUUUCAUAGUUUCUGCUAUUGUAAACAGUCUAUUGACCAGCAAAGUUAUAUAUCAAAGUUAAUAUUUGUGCUGUGAAUGUUCAUUAUUAUAUUUUACAUUAUAAAAAUGGCACGAAGUCAACAGAACAGACAAUUUAAUUGUUAAUCGCAGUACACACAUUUUUUUAUUUCUCAGUUUUUUGAUGCAAAAUCAGUUUGAAUUUGUCCAGAGAGGUGAUUAGAGCAUAGAAAGGAGCGCCUGUCUGACAGUUUGGUAGCAUACUCCAUUCUGAAGGAUCACAUGUAUUGCCAGAUGUACAUGUAUUGUGCGUAUGUCUCCAGGAUGGAGUUGUUCACGCAGUGAGCCAUUCAACCAUCCGGCUGGCUUCUUGUUGUCAGCCGAAAGAAAUGUUCUCUUUUAGCCUUCUGGCCCGCUGGUGGGCCUUGUCUUAUGCCUGUCAGUACUGUGGCAUGUGCCACAGUUUAUACACAUAGAUGUCAUUUCAGUUCACCAACUCUCAGUAUUUUGAAAAGGGCCAGAUGUGUGAUGAAAUAAUUGACGCUAUGCAGGGGAAGCAUUCUCACGCCCAUUUAAUUUCCCAUUCUGCAGUGGGGUAUUGAUAUUGUGUAUCCAGAAAGUAAACUCACAAAAAAACAGAAAGUAUUGAAUGGAUUGUUUAAAAGUAUUGAAUUUUACUAAUAUUAUGUCAGAAUGGCCUGACUGAGCAUACGGAAAGACAAAUGAAACCAAUAACUUUUAAAACAUCACAGGUUGCAGUACAUACUUGUCUAAUGAGUCAUGUUUUUAUGGAUGUUGGCUUGGAUAAUGUGUCAAGCACAAUAUUAAUUGACUUUUAGACUUUUUUUAAAUCUGAUUUUUCUCUUAUUUUAAUAUAUUAAGCUUUAACAUUUUGACCUAUUGCAAUUCAAUCAUCUGAACCUAUCAAACGAUUACAUUUUUUUGCAAUAUAUUAUAUUCAGAAUGAAUUGUUUUGUAUAAUACAGUCCGUACAGGAUUUUUCAGUUGUUGUUUUUUUGUGAUUGUUGCGGCCAAAAAUGCUUGAUUUUGCUGUGGCUUUUUAAAACGAUUUUUGUGCUUUUUUGCAGAAAACUACUUGAAUUGGCGAAAUUGCAAUUGCACAAAUUUUUUUCGCAGUGAUUGUUGGUAAAUGAGACCUUUUGGCUGCACUUAUUUUCAGCGCAUGGGAAACAAAGAGUAUAUAAAAAUAAAUAUGAUAAACAUAAUAGAGAUGUAUGAUCAGGUAAUACUAACUUAAAGAGUUAAAAAGAGAUUACAAACUGAUUACUGCUAAUAAUAGUACAGUGCAGGUUUGAUUCCUGGUAUUAAUCAGUGCAAGAAACAUGACUGUGAUGGACAGAUGGCUAACACUGCAGCCAUGUAAAAUCAUCUGAACAAACAUCUGCCUUCAGAUAAGCUGACCAUUCCUGUCUGCAUGUCAACGUUCCCCUGUCAGUCUCAUUUUUUAUCAGUAAGUUAAACAUUUCAUAGAAAAUCAAAACACAUCCAUAACCUAAGUCUUAAACUACCGAAGGCUGUAUGUUAAUGUUUAAAACAAGUGCUAAAAAGUUGCAUGUGUAACACAAAUGAAAUAUCGUAGAAUUGAGAUAUACAGUCUGAAAUGAUACUUUAUUGUUUAUUAUAUUUCCGUGUGAAUGAUUUUCUUGUUUAUCUUGAUAUAAGAUACUCUCUAUAUUAGCUGUUUUUUUUUCCUCCUUAAUUUGGAAUAUGAAUAUUUGUAUAAUUAGAAUACAGUUUUUGUUGUAUAAGUUAUCACAAGAUAAAUAUUUUUUGUUAUAAAUACUUUCAUCAUAUUUAAUAGAAUAAAUAUGCUUAUUAUUAGCCUAUUUCAUAAUUUUUUAUAAUUGAGUCAUACAAUAAUAAUAAUAAUAAUAAUAAUAAUAAUAAUAAUAAUAAUAAUUGAGUGCUUCUACUUGGCUCCCCACACAAAGACUAGAAAUAAAAUAUUUAUAAAUCCAAAUAUGAAAAAAAAAUUCCACUGCAGUACAUUUAAUAAUCAUAAUAAUUCCUUACAUUUAUAUAGCACUUUUUUUCUAGAAACUCAAAGCACUUUACAUAGUAGGGGGUAGGGAAUCUCAUCAACCACCAUUGGUGUGUAGCAUUCACCUGGGUGAUGCGACGGCAGCCGUAGUGCGCCAGAGCGCCCACCACACACCAGCUAUUAAUGGAGAGGAGAGAGUGAUCUAGCCAAUUCAGAGAUUCCGAUUAUUAGGAGGCCAUGAUAGAUAAGUGCCAAUGGGGGAAUUUCGCCAGGACACUGGGGUGAUGCCCCUACUCUUUUACGAAAAGUGUCCUGGCAGUUUAUAUGACCACAGAGAGUCAGGACCUCUGUCUAACAUCUCAUCCGGUGCUGUUUCUACAGUAUAGUGUCCCUGUCACUGUACUGGGGGUUAGGCCCCUCACAGAGCACAGGCUGAGAACCCCCUGCUGGCCUCGCUAAUACUACUUCCAGCAGCAACCUUAGUUUUCCCCAGGAGUUCUCCCAUCCAGGUACUGGCCAGACUCAACCCUACUUAGCUUCACUGCAGAACCAGGCAAGAACUGCAGGGAGAUAUGGCUCUAGCAGUUCAAGUACAUUUUUAUUAUAUGGUUAAGCUGUUUACUCUGGAACACAUUGGACCAGCCUAGAUACUUGAGUGAUUAAAAUAUUCUUAAAUUACAGCAUCCUGCUGAGUUUUUUCAGCACCAUGUCAUCCUCCUUUUACCAUCACCCAUAUCAGCAGUACGUCAGGCACUAAUGACAACCUUUAAUCUACCCUUCUUGCUACUACCCAGUAAUUGCUGAUAUAUAGCUAAGUCAUUUAAGCUCACAAUAAUGUUCGCCCCAAAAUGAAUCUGAAAUGACGAAAAACAAGCAAAGAUGAAAGGAAAAGAAGAAAUUCAAAAACUUUUUGAGAUAUUUCCAUCCAUUAUCAUUUUCUGUACUGCUUAUUCAUAGAGCCUAGAGCCUAUCCCAGGGAACUCAGGGCAUGAGGUUAUAGGGACACCCUGGGUGGGAGGCCAGCCCAUUGCAGGGCACAAUCGCACACACAUUCACACACUAUGGGCAAUUUAGAGAUGCCAAUCAGACCACAUGGCAGGUCUUUGCACUUGGUGGAGGAAACUGGAAUACCUGGAGCACAAGGAGAACGCGCACAUAGG